rnacentral:ncRNA from 1 species
UAUAAGGCUAUGAAAGAGAGGAGUAAGUGUAUACUGGCUAAAGAGAGGGAUAUCCCAUGGGCUGAAAGGAUUCCCGCCAAAGGUACACUGAAGGUAGCUCUGGAGCCUGUAAACCGAAGUUCAGUAGGUUUAAACGGGUCUGCCCGUUAUAGCUUGAGUGAUAAAUAAAGGUGGUACCGCGAAAUGCCCUUUCGCCCUUUGU